rnacentral:lncRNA from 1 species
GAGUGAUCGAGCUGAAUGAACGGAACUUAAGAGAAUGGCCGAAGUGAAUGAAACGGGACUUGAAUGCUCAAGACUUUGGAAUGUGCUCCUCUUCGAUGAUGGCAGAUGCGGAAUUGCCCCGGAUAACUGGAUAUCGAUUAACAGAACUACCUGCUCAUAUCCAAAGUUUAACUCCUUCACUUUGAACAGGUUAAUCCAAAUUCAGCCCCCGUCAAAGAGGAUUGGCCGAAGUUUACAAUUCGAAAAUUUUAUGCCGAAAAAAUUAGUUCCUUCGAAACAGCAAAACAAAAGCUAGAGGCCGUUGACUCAGAAGCCAGUGACUAUGAGCAAUCAACAUCAGUUUCAUCGAGGGCAGCAAAUAGCCCCUCUCUCUCAUCCGUCUCUGCCAAUGCAGGUCCCUUAAAUCACCAACCAGAGGACCCUCCUCUCCCACUCAGCCCUGCCAAUGCAGAUCCCUCAAAUCAACAACUAAGGGACCCUCCUCUCCCACUCAUGCCUGCCAAUGCAGGUUCCUCAAAUCAACAACUUAGGGACCCUCCUCGCCCACUCAGCCCUGCCAAUGCAGGUCCCUCAAAUCAACAACUUGAGAAUCCCAAUCGGCCUGAACAGCUUCAUGCAAACAAUAAUCAGCCUCCUAUUAAUCAACAACUUGAGAAUCCCAAUCGGCCUGAACAGCUUCAUGCAAACAAUAAUCAGCCUCCUAUUAAUCAACAACUUGAGAAUCCCAAUCGGCCUGAACAGCUUCAUGCAAACAAUAAUCAGCCUCCUAUUAAUCAAGAGAAUCCACAGAAUCAAGAAGAUCAAAUUGCAGAACAGUUACAGAAUCGUAACCAAGGACACGGUCUUGAUAAUCCAUGGCCUAUUCAAGGUGAAGCCGAAGGACAGAUGCGUGAUAGUGUUCUGCGGCGCCUUUAUGCAUUAAAUAUCCAGCAAUUUUCCCGGUUGGAGCAGUUGUUGAGACAGCCGGCAGACAAUUCAGCAACACCCCCACCCCAAAUUCCGAACACCGAGCCGGAGACUCUCAUGUCAAAAUGCCCUUUAAGAAGUGUUGCUGAUUUCAGAAAAUUUGAAAAGAUUUCAAAAGCAAGGCUAAACGUAACCUAAUGAGACAAGAGCUGAAGCUGCACAUGUCUGACAGUCCCAAAUCAUCAUGCCGUUCCAUUGCAGCACUAAUUUUUGCUGACGAACUUGCCGAACACUUUACCUGGAAGGGUCGCUCAUCAAGAAACCAAGCCAUGAAAAAAGAAAGAUUUAUGGACACGAGAUUAUACAACCUCAUUUAUCAAGCUAUCAACUUGUGUUUCCCUACCGAGAAAAUGACUGCUGAAGUAUAUAAGAAAAACCUUCAGAAUUUCUUUAUUCAAGCCAAAUUUCGUAUACUAAGAAAGUAAGUCAUAUUAGCCACACUCACUUCUGUAUUAGUUUUCUUAUUAAAAUCAAUUUGUUUAGGUCUCAUUGCUAUAGAUGUGAAGAAUGCAAAUCAUCAUUUUGACCUGAGGUUUGCACCAAAUAUUCUUUCUUAACUAUCUUUUGGAUGAGCUGCCAUAAAGAAAGAGUUGCAAUUUAAAGAAAAAAGUUGCCCCCCACCUCCUUUAGGAACGGCCACUUUUCAGAAUUUUUGGGGGGCCAAAAAGUUGCCACUUUCGACCCAGGAACAUCUCCAAAGUUUCAAGCUGCUAGGACACUCAGAAAAAAAGUUACAGGGGUGGUCAGUGACUUUUGGAAAAACCUGUACUCUACUCCACUUAAAAAUAAACAUUUUAUUUAAGGAAAUAUGGCAACUCUCAAAUGUUAGUAAGGCGUUUUUCCUUAGUCUGGUAGAAUAUUAGUAAAAUCACAAAUUAAUCAUCACUGAGUUUGGACUUUUGAAGGCUCAGAGAUGAUAAGCAAAAUAAAUUUUACAUUAAGCUGAUCAAUGCAUUGUGCAUGAAAACCAAAAUUUUGACCUAUUAAUAAAUUUGAUUUUAACUAUUAUCCUUGUUUGUUCCUUCUGUUUUCUUCAUAUUAGACAAGAAAGAGCAGCAGCUAGGGUAGCCAGACGUCAAGCAGCUGCAAGUUUGGAAGCGGGAGAAUCGUCCGAAUCGGAACCUGAAAGCGACUAAGUAUCUAGAUCGAAACUUUGUAGCCUUCUUUUGUAUUCUUUUCUUUUUUAUCUAAACAUCCAUUUUUUGACUGUAUCUUGACCUACCUACAUCGAGAAGUUGCAUUUGUAAAACUGACACUUCUUUUAGUGUUGUGGGGCAUGAACAAGUUUUUAAACAAAAUUAAAGCCUGUUAAUCUUAGCUACACAGCCAGAAAUAAAAACGUCCACUGUGAUUGUCAAAAAUGCUCAAAAAGGAAGAAGACAAAUUUAUUUCAAAUUAAGGAAAGUAUUUAAAAAAAACUUCUUUCUCCCUAUUUUUUCCUUGAUUACUUUUAACAAGCACAAAAGUGUUUUCCAUAUUGCUUUUUACACAGAGGAGAUUAGUACCCUUCAUUCUUGUUCAGAAACUUGUUCAUGUCUCAAAAGUGCAGCUUUAAAAGCUACUGGUUCUUGUGCUUAUGAUGAAGGAGGGUCCUUAAUGAAUUUUUUUAUUAAAUUUCCUCUUGGAGCACUUAAAAAGUGUAAGUUUUACUUAUGGUCAUUUUCCAUUCUAGAGUGUUUAAGCUUUGACCCAAGUCUCUAAGGGAUGUAAGUCAACGUCAAUGGCUAGAAAGCAAUAAUGAAAGCCUUAAAUGCGGUUUUUCUUUAUGGGCCCUUUUUUGGAGAGGUCUUAAAUUUAUAUUCCUAACUCUUAACUUAAAGUUACUAAAAAUACUUAAUUCUAGGUACCUUUAAAGUGUGAUAUGUACUGAAGUAAACUUUAUUAAUACGUAAAACGUAUGUACGUACGUAAGUGUUACGUAUUUUACUUAAAUGUUACGUAUUUUACUUUAAUGUUACGUAUUUUACGUAAAAUUUGCAAUACUUGAGUCAGGUUUUUUGUUACCUAAUACUUACCUAAAAUUUCUUUGUAAUAUUUGAGUCAAGUUUUUCUGUUACCAAAUGGUUGUUUGUUGACUCGUAUGUUAAGUGUAAUGUGCCUAAAUCAUUCCCUGAACCAAGUACAAUUUUUUGCCCCUGUCUUUUUUUCAAGUAGUAUUGAAUAUAUAUUUAAUGGCCUCGUACUCCCAACACCUCAAUUAAUUCUAAUUAAAUUGAUGUAUAUGUAUUAAACUACAUGUCACCUUCUGGCGAAAGUAUCACAAGUGCCAUUCAACGUUUCAAAAUUUCCGCCGCCAUUUUAUUUUUUAAUAGAGAAAAUGUUGGUUGAAUCUGUUAGAAAAUUUCAGUGAAUUUUCGUCGUGCUGCCGAUGAAAUUAAGUGAAAUUUUCAAACGGAUUCAACGAACAAUUUCUCUGUUAAAAUAAAAUGUCAGCGGAAAUUUUGAAACGUCGCAUGGCGCUUGUGAUACUUCGGCCUGGAGCUGACAACAUGAUGUUUUCAAAUUUCACAAUUCUAUUUGUAAAUUUGCAUUACCAUCUCUUGAAAACAUAAUGUAGUUUAAUACAAUUUGAUACAGUAAUUAUUAUUAUUAUUUUUUUUUUACUUUUAACUCAAUUUAUACCUACUCCAAUUUAUUUGUAUCCAUUGCUUAGCCAGGCAAAUUUGGCAUCAUAGUGUAUUAAUUCUUAAUUUUCUAUUGAUAUUUCUGCACUGACUUUCUUUUCAAUAGUUGCCUCACUUUCUGAGGUUAUUAACUUCAGACAUUCUUCUGCGAAAAAGGCAUGCAGCCAUCGCUAUAUUCAAUUCAUCGUAUUGUUAAAUCAUUGUAUUGAUCGUAUGUGAUCUAUUGCUUAAUAACCAUUGCUUAGCCAGCCAAAUUUGGCAUCAUAGUGUAUUAGUUCUAAAUUUAAUUUUUGAAUAUUUCUGCACUGGCCUUCUUUUCAACAGUAAUAGUGUUGCCUCACUUUUUGAGUUUAUUAGUUUCAGACAUUUUCAUGCCGAAGGGCAUGCAGCCAUCUCUAUAUUCAAUUCAUCGUAUUGUUGGAUCAUUGUAUUAAUCGUAUGUAAUCUAUUGCUCAGUAUCCAUUGCUUCGCUAGCCAAACUUGGCAUCAUAGUGUAUUAAUUCUAAUUUUGUUUUUUGAGUAUUUCUUUACUGGCCUUCAUUUCAACAGUACUCGAGAUGCCUCCUUUUCUGAGUUUAUUAGUUUCAGACAUUUUUAUGCCGAAAAGGCAUGCAGCCAUCUAUAUAUUCAAUUCAUUGUAUUGUUGAAUCUUUUUAUUAAUUGUAUGUGAUCUAUUGCUCUCAUUUUUUAUUAAUGUUUUCUCUUGUCCAAUGUAACUUUGAAUGUGUUCUCUUUAUAGUGAGUCAUAAUUUAAUUUUUUUUUUUUUUUUUAAAGUUAAGAAUAUUUUUCUCAUCAUUUUAUUUUUUGGAUUUAUUAUUUCAUACAUAUUUUUCUUGUUUAUUUCUGUUUAUAGUAAUAGGAUCUAUUUCAAUAAAUGGAUUUAUUUUUUCAAUAUUUUUUUUCUCUUUCCAAUCUAAUAACUAUCACUAUGCUAUGAGCUUCUUAGCUUUUCCUCCCAACUCUUAAUUUAAUUUUCUCAAAUAUUUUUGAUUUUCAAUUUC